AUAAUAGAAUAAUAAACAUUAGUGCUAAUUGCUCUUAUUAAUCUAAAUUACUAGAGCGGUCAUUACAAAUAGUUUGAUUAGAAAUUGAUAUUACAUUCAUUACACUACUACAAUAACCAGAUUUUUCGUCAAUUUUAAUGUCAUUAAAAUUACAAAAUGCAUUUAUGAAAAAAAAAAAAACCCCACUAUGGGGUUCAGCCUAAUACACUUAAAAACCUAAUAACCAUAACUCUCACAUAGUCGCCCCCUUCAUUCUACAAACUCUCUCUCUCUCUCUCUCUCUCUCUCUCUCUCUCUCUCUCUCUCUCUCUCUUGCGCAUGUACAUUCAUCACAGCCGCCUCGACCACGAUAUUCGUUAGUGAGUUGGUAGCAGAUCACGACCUCUACCCUAAAAUGACCACGACCCUCGUCGCUCGCACCAACUUAGGUGUUUGUGGCUCACGAUCUGAGCGACGAUGGUUGGUGGCAGCUUUUCUAAAAACAUUUGAUUUGUGCAUUACACAAUAUAUAUCUAAAAAAUUUCAUGUAAUAUAUAUAUUGUGUAAUAUUUGUAUUUAUAAUGCGUAAUAUUUGAGGUCUGGGUUUUGAUUUGUGUUUAUUAUUAUUUUUAAUUGUGCUUAAACUUUAUUUGUAUGGGCUGAGAUCUGAAGUUUUUUUUUUUUUUUGGUGUCUCUAUUUAGUGUGUCUGUUAUACACCGAUGAGAUAAGUGUAAAAAUUAUUUUCCUUAUUGUUUGCGAGUGUUGAAAACCGACAGAAAUAAUUUUACACAACGAUUGAGAACCGACUCAAAUACAAACACUUUUUGCGUCUACAAUAUAUACGUCAGUUGGGGGAGCCGAAGACAAAACUUUUAAAGUCAAUUAAAGAUUGACGAGAAAUGUGCUUUCUGUAGUAGUGUUAAUAGGAAUUAGGAAUGAUUGUUCAGGGGGGCAAAUAACUUUUAACUAGUUUCUCAUAUCGCAGUUUCAAUUUUAAUAUUUUAUUUUAUUUUUAUUUAUGUUAUUUUACUAUAAACUUCAAAACCCCCCUUUUUAAACUUUUGUCACUAAUUUGUGAAUAAUUUAAUAAACAUAG